CAUGUCUUUUUGAUAAUAAUUUAAAGUCUGACCUGCCCUAUGAUAUUUAUAUUAAAUGGCCGCGAUAGUUUGAUCGUGCAAAGGUAGCAUAAUCAUUAGUUUUUUAAUUGGGAACUGGUAUGAAAGGUCGAACGAGAAAAAGACUGUCUCAGUUUAAUUUUAUUAGAAUUUUAUUUUUAAGUAAGAACGCUUAAAUAAUUUUAAAAGACGAGAAGACCCUAUAGAGUUUUAUAUUUAUUAAUUUUAGGGAGAAUUUUAGAAUUUAUCUCUUUUUAUUUUUAAUAAAUAUUUGGUUGGGGCGAUUAAAAAAUUUAAUAAACUUUUUUUAAAUGUAUUACAUUGAUAUAUGAUUAAGUGAUCCAUAAAUUAUGAUUAAAAGAUUAAAUUACCUUAGGGAUAACAGCGUUAUUUUUUUUGAGAGUUCUUAUCGAAAAAAAAGUUU
rnacentral:rRNA from 1 species